AGUAUACCGGAAGGUGUGCUUGGAAA
rnacentral:rRNA from 6 species